GGAGAGGUGGCUCAGAGGUUAAGAGCACUGGAUGCUCUUCCAGAGGUCCUGAGUUCAAUUCUCAGCAACCACA
rnacentral:tRNA from 1 species